rnacentral:lncRNA from 14 species
GUGUGUUUUGAGCCCAGGGAUUAAAGGAGUUUAGUAGGUUUUCAAACCUGGAAGUGGACUUAGACCUUUCACCCUUUCUCAGCACCUUGGCCACACCAGUCAAAAGGAAGACUGGGACAUACAGGUUUACCUCAGAGCCUCAUGCCCGUGCUUUAAUGGCUCAAUGUCGAAGAGGAGGAGAAAGUGGACUGAAGAUAAACUGUAGCCUCUCCUGUGUUGAGCACGGACAGACGGCCCUGGGGGAGCGCAGGAAGAGACUCCUGGAAAGGCUUGACUGGAAAAUUGAUUCCCAUCAGCAAGCAUCCCUUCACCACCCAGGUUUCUCAACUGCACCUAAAUUGCAAGCGAUUCAAAGCGAGUACAAAGGGGCCGUUGCUGCUGCCAAAUUGGCUUAUCCUUGGGAAAUAUGCAGAGAAGUGUUGGAGAGUUUUAGAACAUCCGUACUGAGUGAUCAGUUCGUAAACUUUCAAGUAGCCAUCAUUUGUUACAUUUAGACAUUAACUUUCAAGCGCCAUUUUUCAUCCGGAAUCAAAGAGGAUCACAACGUACUCCACUGUGGGCAGCUAGAGUCAUGAAGACAGGUCAGUAAAUACUUUCUAGAUUCCACACGUAUAAUUCCAGCUCUUCAUGUUUCUUUUAUAUCCCAUUGUAAGUCUUCCCUGCUUUCCAGCUUGC